GUAGCUAUAGUCACAUAAACCAAAGUUGAAACAACACAGAGAUUAGCAUGGCACCUCUGCAAAAAUGACAUGCAAAUUUGCAAAGUGUUUCAUAUUUUC
rnacentral:snRNA from 1 species